AGUUGGUCAUAAGAGUAACCUCAAAAUAUACCAAAAAAUCAGCACCGAGGUGGUCAACUGCCAGAGGCAUGCCACAAAGGGGGCGCAAAACGGGCACUGCGACAAGUGGCAACGCCGAGCGACAUCGGAAUCCGAUGUGUCAGAGAAAAGAGAAAAGUUGCAAGAACUACACCGAAAAGUUUAACCACCUGCAUUAGAAGUGAUUUAAUUAAAUCAAUUAAACAUGAUAAUGGGCUAGAUUUGUAAAAGACUUCAGAGAGAGAGAGCUUGCAUAAUUCAAUGAAAAGAAUACAAGAAUUAGAGGCAGAGGCAUGCCAGCGGCAUUGCCAGCGCAAAGCAGAAAACUCCAAGAAGAGAAAGAGCCUACCGAAAAAACCAGCCUGACCUGCGUUGCAGCUGCCUUUUCCGCUGCAUUAUGGUCGUUAAGCGAGGCCUUGAGAAUAAAUAGAACCCCUGGAAAGGACUUAGGGGAUGGGAUGGACUUCUACCUAAAGUGCCCUUCGUCUACCUGGAAAAAACCCUAGGAGACGAAAACCGAGGCUACAUCGUUGACUCCGCCACAACAUCGGGUAUCAGUCGCUGCAUCGGCGGCAUGGCGUUAAAACCUUUUCUGAAAAUGUGAUUUUUUUGUGAAAUGUGAAACCCAGAUGUGAUCCAGCCGGCAGGGGCAGCUUCUUGGCCACCCAACUCUACUUUGUGCUGCAAUAUUCGUGACCAGAACCGUCACUUCACGUACAUCUUUCUCACCGCAUCGAGUCAUCAAGUGUGAUAAACCGAAGCCUCAUUCCACUGGAAAAGAGCCUUAAGCAGUAGAAGAAUCUCCUUCCGAGUGGAGCUCCCGUUUAAGGUGGCGUCUUUCUUCUCCACCGCCUGCGGUAGGAAGGAGACGCGGCGGCGUUGACGUGCCUGGUUGGUGCGAGUGGUGGUGCAACAUGUGCUGCGGCGAGCCCUGGGGAUCGACCCAAUCAACCUAGAAACCUUGCAGUCCAGCAGCUCCUACGGCCCUGGUGGGCAAUUCCACCCACAAAAUGUAAUAGACAACGCUUGCGAUGGAAAAUUCUGACCGGAGCGAGAGAGAUAGGCACAUAUCGAAUAUCCAGAGCGUUCGCUUGGCAUCACAUGCGUUGCGAGACGACGCGUACGCAUACUUCUAUCGGGCGCGUGUGGCGUCACGCGAAUGCGAGCGAGACGACAACACUGUAGACAUGGGGGAGCCCUAGCUCCCGGCUCUCCUCUAGCCACCUCUGACGCGUCGGCCAGGCGUUUGCAUCGCAAGCGGUAGAGCGAGACGGUCAUCUAGGGGCGGACUGCAAGGCACCAAAGUGAGAGCGCUAACGCAAUACAAAAAUCAUAAAUUAGACAGAGACAGCAUCAGUGCAUAACGAUGCGUAUAACGGAACGGGCGUCCCUUGGCACGCCCACAUGCACAAAGCGCACACACAGACACCGGCCGGGUUCGCACGUCAUCGGUCCUUGUCGAAACCGUUGCAGGAGCUUCCGGAACGGGGAUUCCCCGAUAAAUAAUGCCAGGAUCUGCUCAAGCGGAUAUAAAACAACUCAGCUUCGAGCUGUCAAGAUGGAGCAUUAGCUCUAUAAAUGAACUUAGAACGUGUCAUCGUAACCUCACCUCACCUCAACCAUUAAAACUCAUUUCUGGCCUGACAAUGCUACGAUAUUGCUUCGCAUUUAAUUCUCUAGAAGAACUCGAUGCUAGAUUUCUGCCAAGAAACUGUCCUUGCCCCAAGGAGCAUAUACUGGACUGGUAGUUAGGAUAAUAAUAGAUUAGAAAAAGCCAUGCCAUGCCGCCUGCCAAAGUCCUAGCCGUGAAGCUACGCCCAGAAGAAGCUGCCUCUGCAUAGACUCGAGAGGUCUCUAGACAAGAAUUCUAACCAGCAAAAGCGACAAGCUGUUGCGCUUAAGAUUACUUAUCAAAACCUCGAGCUAAGACCCUGCAUAACAUACCUCAUCUCACAGCCAUAUACACACAAAGCCAGCUUCAAGAAUUAGCCUAUUCUUCAAUUCUUAAAACUACUCAAAAUCUCCCGAACACAGUGCCUAGGAAUCGCCCAAAAAUUUAAUUUACUUUGAUUUAGUUAUUUCCAUUUUGAUUUUGAUACUAACCCAAUGUUGCUUGCAGCCAAUUGAUCAGCUUUAAAGCUGAAAAAGCAAUUCAUUAACCGACAGGAGGUGAGUUUUUGUCUUCGGUCCUUGGACGACGUUUAGUUAAUUCCCAGAAACACAGAAAGUCUAGACUUUGCUUAUUACUAAAAUAAUAAAACCAUAUAAAACCAGUAAAAAAAAAGAUAAAUACAAUGAACUGUUCUACAAACAGAUCAUCACUUGAGCGAAAUAAAGAAACAAAAUAAGUGUUUGGAAAGCGUUUUCUAACGCUCAAAAACGCUCUGAAAAUAAUAAAGUUCGCUUUGUGAGCAAAAGAAUGAAAAGAAUACAUAAAAACAAGCUCUUUGCUUGGUCAAUCGUUUGACCUGCAACUGGCUGGAUUGCCAUUAAUCACAUUCUUUGCUUAUGAACCUCAAAAUAUUCGCUUAAACUGAUGAUAAAACUUGUGAAAAAUAAACAAUAAUUAAAAGGCAAAGUCAAAGUCCGUUCACAGACUGGAAAUUAGCUAAGCGUCUUCUUUAAGGUAUUGAAAGUGCAAAAAAGAAAAAGAUAAUAUAAGCAUGGCUUGACACUGAGUAUUAACAUAUUUCUAUGCUGUGUGUCCUUUCAGAUAAGUUUUAGACUGAGACGAAACUUGAAGACUCUCGGAGCCAAAGUUUUCAAUUAGUGUUUUUAUUUCGCUUGCCGGGCGUUUUCCAGCACUUUUCAAAGAGAGAUUUGUUUUUUAAAACAUAAAAAUUUAAUAUUUUGGCUAAUUUUUGAACUAAAGUUUCCAUUAAAUGUCAUACACAUUCUCAUAUUCAGUUGGAGAUUAGCUUAAGGUGGAACCUAGUAUUCCUUAAAGUUAUUUUAUAUUCAAAUCCUUGUGCGUAUAACAGUUUCCUACAGUUGGAAAGUUCUACUUAGGGCUUACUACGAGUUUGAUAUGCAAGCAGAUGAAAAUAAGAGAUUUCAUUUCAACAAUUGUGAAAACUAAAGUACAGUCCAUCCCUAAAAUAGAGGCCAUAGCCAUGAAGCUCCGCCCAAAACAAGAGAAGAAAAUAUUUGUAUUUUGAACUAAUCCAUAAAUUUGCUUUCAGUUCCGCCAUGGAGGAGUUCCUGUUUAUUUUUUAUGUUUUUUUUUUAAGCUGUCGUCAAGUGUUCACCCCAGUCUAUCCAUCCAUUUAUGUGUACCACAUUUAACACAUUUUGAGUUUUCCCAAACUCUUGUUCUGCUCACCAGACACCUUCAUACACCUUUGACACAUUUCCACAAUUCCCACUUAUGAAAACACAAUCCACAUAAACGACAUCAAUUCAUCAACAUUUUCAUGGUUCGUGUUUUGGAGAAAGCGUCAAAGCGCAGUUUUGAAACUUUUUCCGAAACGAAAGAAAAGAAAAAUUAAAUCAUUUUGAAUUGCGAAGAACCAUUGUUAAGAACGGCCCUGAAAGCGUACGUUUUGAGCACGGUUCUAAAAGAAUAUCUAUUACAAUACUAAAAAAAAAAUAAGAAAAAAAAAACAACUAAACACAUUUACUAACAAUAGUAUAAGAAAAAGAAAUAAAAACUUGCUGGUAACGUUUUUCGCAAUUCAAAAAGAAAAAUCGAAAAAAAAAAUAUAUAUAUGCAAGUAUGAUAAAUGUGUGGAAACGUUAUACGAAUCUUCACAAAAGUGCUCUAAAAACAAACGAGUAUUACGAAACUGUUAUACGCCUGUGCCGA